GGGGCGCCACCACCAGGUGAACUGUAUCGACAGGUGUCCUUCUCUCAAACAUUACAUUAGCAGGACGUACACUGAAGACGUUUUUCCUCUCCUGAAAAGCUUACAGGAAAGGAUAUGGCUCCUUGGUGGCACAGAUGAACCAGACACCAUGUGGAUUGUCCUGGAGGUGGCAAGUGAAUAAAUAGGGAUGCACCCAGAAAGACCUGGACCAAGUCUCCACCAAAACCUCCUCCCCGGUAUCUCCCGAGUUCCACAUCCCCCUCAUCACUCACACAGCGUCCCUUAGGGAGAGGCAGAGCAGAGGGCCUGGAGGAUCAGGGCCACAUUCAGUAGACAUGGUGCCUCCGGAGAAGCAGCCAUUUUCCCCAGAAAAUAUGGCUCAUUACCAGCACAGUCAAAAUGAAGCAUCCUCUGGCAACCUAACAGCCAAGAGGCCCCGACGAGUGAGAUAUGAGGCCUGAUGACUUGAGUGAACCUGUCCUUCACUUGAGCACAGACACUCCUCCAGCAUUUCCACCCACUUUGUUUCAACAGAACUCUCCUAUGGUCCUGGACAAAAGACUACUCACGACACCAUUUUAUGAUCUCUGUGAUGAUACCGUUUCCUUCUCCUGCUUGCAUGUUACCUUGGUCUGCUCAUCUAAUGCGAGAUGUUAAUGUCAAAAACAUCAUUAGAGGUUCUCCCUUGAGACAAUUGUUGAUUUGAAGCAAAGGAUGACGAAGUGAGAAAAGAUUUUUUUAACAGCAAACAAGAAAACCAAUUUAAAUAAGUGCUUUUUCUAUAUAGUGCACACACAAAAAUACAUGCAUAUGAAUACGUAAAAACAGA